CUGGUACUACCGACCUCCCGAGGUUAUAUCAGAAGGAGGAUUGUCUGCUUCUGGACUAUGGUUGAUUGCGGGCAACUGAACAGGCAGAAAGAGAAAGCACAGGUGCUGAGAUCAGGAACCAUGGGAAUAGCUCCCAUGGAGACAUGACAUCUAUACAAUUACAAUUACAUCAUGGCUGACUUCUUUCUAUGUCUUUUUAUGGGGCUAUUGAGCAUCUCAACAGAACACAAGAGAUUCUCAGAACAGAUUGCAAACCACAAAUCUAAUCCCAAUUGCUCUUAUAUUACAGAGGCAUUGCUAAGAUGAUUUCAUAAAAAAGAGAAAACAAUUUUAGGAGAUCAACACAUUUCAUCUUCCCUGAAAUGCUUUCAGUUGUGGACGGUGCAAAUUCUGCCCUGUCUGAAUGCCUCUCCGUAACUGGAUUCCCAGGAGGAAUGGCGGGUGCAGAGAACCAGGGGAGCCAGAGGGACCAGAGUGAAUUUUCAGAAUUGUUUUUCUUUGACAGACUCCAAGUAGCCACGUCAAAAAUCUGCAUGUCUGCCAUCGCAGCUCCUGUAUGCUACAGAACCCUUCACAGAAGAAUUAGUCUGAUUUUGUGAAAGAAAAACAUGCUUCCUCUCUUGAUUUGGUUUAAACUUUAGAAUUCUUUAUCCCAAGUUUAUUUUAUAACCUUUUUCUUUCCUUCUGAUCUUAGACUAAAGUUCUAAUUCUUUCUUUUAGAUAACCUUGAUCCGUUUGAAGUUGUCUUUCUUAGUUAGAAUGCAUAAGCAACACAUAAGUAUGUCUGGACUCUAUCUAAACAGACCUUUCUGACAGCAUAAGUCAAGAAGGAUAAAUCAUUCAGACAGGAGAAAUCUUUUGAACUGUGGACAGACACGAAGAGUGAGAGGCACAGAGGGAAAGGGGAAACAUAUUGGAGAGAUUCUGAUGAUGAGACAGGAAUUCACAGAUGAGACUUAAAAUCAAACAUGCAAGCUCUUCCCAGGGGUUCAUGUAAAUUUGCUUCUAAUCCCCGCAGCUGAAAAGAAUGUUAAACAUGAUCUGAUGAAAUCCAACACUUCAUUUUACAGAUGAGAAAACCGAGUCCCAGAAACAUACAAGAGCGUGUUCCAUGGAGCAAACUCAAUUCUGUUUCUACUUCUGGUAACAGAAGGCAAUGAUCUGUCGAAGAGAUGUAUUAAGUCACAGGUUAUAGAAAACAAAAUCUCAGAUAGUUUUGAAAAUUGGAGUCCCUAUAACAAUGAUUCUUUUUGCCAGACACAUAUUAUUUUGAGCCACGAUACUGUCUGAGAAGCGCUCCUCUGCUCCACACAGGAAUAUUCAUUCAUUAACCAUGUAAGUUACAGAUCUGUGCUGUCCGAUACAGUAGCCAUCAGCCACAAGUGACUAUGUAAUUGCAUUUUGAGUUAAAAUUAAAUAAAAAUAAAAAUUUAGUUCCUCAGUUAUGCUAGUCACAUUUCAAGUACUCAACACCUACAUGUGACUAGUGGCUGCCUAUAUUGGACAGGGCACACAUAGAACUUUCCAUCACUGCUGAAAGUUCUUUUAGGCAGCACGAUUAUGGAUCACUAACUGUAGAGAGUAUAAACAGAGUACAACACAAAGUCAGGUACAUACUGUGAUGGGCUGGUCCA